rnacentral:rRNA from 1 species
CACGGAGGGUGCAAGCGUUAUCCGGAUUCACUGGGUUUAAAGGGUGCGUAGGAGGGCAGGUAAGUCCGUGGUGAAAUCUCUGAGCUUAACUCAGAAACUGCCGUGGAUACUACCGGUCUUGAAUAUCGUGGAGGUGAGCGGAAUAUGUCAUGUAGCGGUGAAAUGCUUAGAUAUGACAUAGAACACCAAUUGCGAAGGCAGCUCACUACCCGAAUAUUGACUCUGAGGCACGAAAGCGUGGGGAUCAAACAGG